rnacentral:tRNA from 1 species
GAGCCCGUAGCUUAGCCAGGACAAAGCGAGAGCCUCCGGAGCUCUAGAACCCGGGUUCAAAUCCCGGCGGGCUCA